rnacentral:tRNA from 1 species
UCCCUCAUAUCUCAGCUGGUAAAGAAUCUGCCUGCAAUGCAGGAGACCUGGGUUCAACUCCUGGGUUGGGAA